GGAUAACAUUCUGAAAAGAAUGCUAAUACCGCAUGACAUAUCGGAACCACAUGGUUCUGAUAUCAAAGAUUUUAUCGCUUGAAGAUGGACUCGCGUCCGAUUAGUUAGUUGGUGAGGUAACGGCUCACCAAGACCGCGAUCGGUAGCCGGACUGAGAGGUUGAACGGCCACAUUGGGACUGAGACACGGCCCAGACUCCUACGGGAGGCAGCAGUGGGGGAUAUUGCGCAAUGGGGGCAACCCUGACGCAGCAACGCCGCGUGAAGGAUGAAGGUUUUCGGAUUGUAAACUUCUUUUAUUAAGGACGAAAAAUGACGGUACUUAAUGAAUAAGCUCCGGCUAACUACGUGCCAGCAGCCGCGGUAAUACGUAGGGAGCAAGCGUUGUCCGGAUUUACUGGGUGUAAAGGGUGCGUAGGCGGCUUUGCAAGUCAGAUGUGAAAUCUAUGGGCUCAACCCAUAAACUGCAUUUGAAACUGUAGAGCUUGAGUGAAGUAGAGGCAGGCGGAAUUCCCCGUGUAGCGGUGAAAUGCGUAGAGAUGGGGAGGAACACCAGUGGCGAAGGCGGCCUGCUGGGCUUUAACUGACGCUGAGGCACGAAAGCGUGGGUAGCAAACAGGAUUAGAUACCCUGGUAGUCCACGCUGUAAACGAUGAUUACUAGGUGUGGGGGGUCUGACCCCUUCCGUGCCGGAG
rnacentral:rRNA from 1 species